rnacentral:rRNA from 1 species
CCUACGGGUGGCAGCAGUGGGGAAUAUUGCACAAUGGGGGAAACCCUGAUGCAGCGACGCCGCGUGAGUGAAGAAGUAAUUCGUUACGUAAAGCUCUAUCAGCAGGGAAGAAACACUGACCUUACGGUCAGCAGACGGUACCUGAGUAAGAAGCCCCGGGUAACUACGUGCCAGCAGCCGCGGUAAUUCGUAGGGGGCAAGCGUUAUCCGGAUUUACUGGGUGUAAAGGGAGCGUAGACGGUGCGCCAAGGCUGGAGUGAAAUGCCGCGGCUUAACUGCCGAACUGCUUUGGAAACUGGCGAACUAGAGUGCGGGAGGGGUAAGCGGAAUUCCUGGUGUAGCGGUGAAAUGCGUAGAUAUUAGGCGGAACACCGGUGGCGAAGGCGGCUUACUGGUCCAUAACUGACGUUGAGGCUCGAAAGCGUGGGUAGCAAACAGGAUUAGAUACCCUAGUAGUC